rnacentral:tRNA from 1 species
GAGGAUUUAGCUUAAUUAAAGUGGCUGGUUUGCAGCCAGUUGAUGUAAGAUGGAGUCUUGCAGUCCUUA